rnacentral:miRNA from 1 species
GUCGCGAACGACUCGUAUAAACAGUCAAUUUGCAAUAAGCGGCUUAUUGCAAAUUGACUGUUUAUACGAGUCGUUCGCGACUU